CCAAUAGCGUAUAUUAAAGUUGUUGCAGUUAAAAAGCUCGUAGUUGAACUUCGGGGUCUACCCAUUGGUCAGGCUUAAUUGUCUGUACUGGUGAGAUGGAUCUCUACCUUCUGAGGAACUUUCAUGCCAUUUAUUUGGUGUGAUGGGAAAUCAGGACUAUUACUUUGAAAAAAUUAGAGUGUUUAAAGCAGGCUAACGUCUGAAUACAUUAGCAUGGAAUAAUGAAAUAGGACGGACUGAUUCUAUUUCGUUGGUUUCUAGGAUCACCGUAAUGAUUAAUAGGGAUAGUUGGGGGCAUUAGUAUUCAAUUGUCAGAGGUGAAAUUCUUGGAUUUAUUGAAGACUAACUACUGCGAAAGCAUUUGCCAGGGAUGUUUUCAUUAAUCAAGAACGAAAGUUAGGGGAUCGAAGACGAUCAGAUACCGUCGUAGUCUUAACCAUAAACUAUGCCGACUAGGGAUCGGACGAAGUUAAUUUUUUAAUGACGCGUUCGGCACCUUACG
rnacentral:rRNA from 1 species